UCCGGUUGAUCCUGCCAGAGGCUACUGCUAUCGGGGUCCGACUAAGCCAUGCGAGUUGAGAGGGGUAAGCCCUCGGCAUAUUGCUCAGUAACACGCGGAUAACCUGCCCUUGGGUUUGGGAUAACCCCGGGAAACUGGGACUAAUACCGGAUAGAUCAAAGAAACUGGAAUGUUCUCUGAUCGAAAGCUCCGGCGCCCAAGGAUGGGUCUGCGGCCUAUCAGGUAGUAGUGGGUGUAACGUACCUACUAGCCUACGACGGGUAAGGGUUGUGAGAGCAAGAGCCCUGAGAUGGAUUCUGAGACAUGAAUCCAGGCCCUACGGGGUGCAGCAGGCGCGAAAACUUUACACUGCGGGAAACCGCGAUAAGGGGACCCCGAGUGCCAGCACCUAGUGCUGGCUGUCCAGCUGUUCAAAUAACAGUUGUUAGCAAGGGCCGGGCAAGACCGGUGCCAGCCGCCGCGGUAACACCGGCGGCCCGAGUGGUAGCCGUUAUUAUUGGGUUUAAAGGGUCCGUAGCCGGCCUAUUAAGUCUCUUGGGAAAUCUGGCGACUCAAUCGUCAGGCGUUCAAGAGAUACUGGUAGGCUUGGGACCGGGAGAGGUGGGAGGUACUCCAGGGGUAGGGGUGAAAUCUCGUAAUCCUUGGGGGACCACCGAUGGCGAAGGCAUCCCACCAGAACGGGUCCGACGGUGAGGGACGAAAGCUGGGGGCACGAACCGGAUUAGAUACCCGGGUAGUCCCAGCCGUAAACGAUGCUCGCUAGGUGUCAGGUGCGGUGCGACCGCAUCUGGUGCCGCAGUGAAAACUUGAAGCGAGUCACCUGGGAAGUACGGUCGCAAGGCUGAAACUUAAAGGAAUUGGCGGGGGAGCACUACAACGGGUGGAGCCUGCGGUUCAAUUGGAGUCAACGCCGGG
rnacentral:rRNA from 1 species